UACGGAGGGUGCAAGCGUUGUUCGGAAUCACUGGGCGUAAAGGGCGUGUAGGCGGUCCGCUAAGUCUGAUGUGAAAGCCCGGGGCUCACCCCCGGAAGGGCAUUGGAAACUGGCGGACUCGAGUCUCGGAGAGGAAGGUGGAAUUCCUGGUGUAGCGGUGAAAUGCGUAGAUAUCAGGAGGAAUACCGGUGGCGAAGGCGGCCUUCUGGACGAUGACUGACGCUGAGGCGCGAAAGCGUGGGGAGCAAACAGG
rnacentral:rRNA from 1 species